CUUGGCACCCUCUCGGAAUCACAAAGAAUAUCAGUGAAGAUUUGCUUGCUGUCUUCAUUGAAGGUGCAGUACAUUGUGCAGACGUGUACGAACAAAAGAAUACUGAUUCAGCUGAACUAAUUCAAGCACGAGAAAAAAUCUUCCAGAUUCUACAAAAAUGGCUAAAGCAAUAGAUGUCUCUGAAAAAUAAAUGCAACAGAACCUGAAA